CGCCAAUUCCAUGAUGCUCUUCAUCGUCCGUGAGUAAUCUAAUCGUAGGCUUGAUGGACGGUGAUUGGUUGGAUGAGAUCUAUCAUGUAAUCGAGUUAGUUUUGAUGGGGAUUGAUCCCUAGUAUCCACUAUGUUCUCAGAUUGAUGUUGCUACUACUUUGUUAUGCUUAAUGCUUGUCCCUAGGCCCGAGUGUCAUGAUUUCAGAUUUGAACCUAUUAUGUUUCCAUCGAUAUAUGUGUGUU
rnacentral:lncRNA from 1 species